rnacentral:rRNA from 1 species
GACGUAGGGCGCGAGCGUGUCCGGAUUUAUUGGGCGUAAAGAGCUCGUAGGCGGCUUGUCGCGUCGACUGUGAAAACCCGCGGCUCAACUGCGGGCUUGCAGCCGAUACGGGCAGGCUAGAGUUCGGUAGGGGAGACUGGAAUUCCUGGUGUAGCGGUGAAAUGCGCAGAUAUCAGGAGGAACACCGGUGGCGAAGGCGGGUCUCUGGGCCGAUACUGAC